UACGGAGGGAGCUAGCGUUGUUCGGAAUUACUGGGCGUAAAGCGCGCGUAGGCGGCUUUGUAAGUUAGAGGUGAAAGCCCGGGGCUCAACCCCGGAACUGCCUUUAAAACUGCAUCGCUUGAAUCCGGGAGAGGUGAGUGGAAUUCCGAGUGUAGAGGUGAAAUUCGUAGAUAUUCGGAAGAACACCAGUGGCGAAGGCGGCUCACUGGCCCGGUACUGACGCUGAGGUGCGAAAGCGUGGGGAGCGAACAGG
rnacentral:rRNA from 1 species